rnacentral:rRNA from 1 species
GACGAACGCUGGCGGCGUGCUUAACACAUGCAAGUCGAACGGAAAGGCCCUGCUUUUGUUGGGUGCUCGAGUGGCGAACGGGUGAGUAACACGUGAGUAACCUGCCCUUGACUUUGGGAUAACUUCAGGAAACUGGGGCUAAUACCGGAUAGGAGCUCCUGCUGCAUGGUGGGGGUUGGAAAGUUUCGGCGGUUGGGGAUGGACUCGCGGCUUAUCAGCUUGUUGGUGGGGUAGUGGCUUACCACGGCUUUGACGGGUAGCCGGCCUGAGAGGGUGACCGGCCACAUUGGGACUGAGAGACGGCCCAGACUCCUACGGGAGGCAGCAGUGGGGAAUAUUGCACAAUGGGCGGAAGCCAGAUGCAGAAACGCCGCGUGCGGAAUGACGGCCUUCGGGUUGUAAACCGCUUUCGCCUGUGACGAAGCGUGAGUGACGGUAAUGGGUAAAGAAGCACCGGCUAACUACGUG